rnacentral:rRNA from 1 species
GACGAACCGGACAAACGUUAUUCGGAAUUACUGGGCUUAAAGGGUUUGUAGGCGGCUUUGUAAGUCAGGUGUGAAAUCCCUCGGCUCAACCGAGGAAUAGCGCUUGAUACUGCAAGGCUUGAGGGAGACAGGGGUAAGCGGAACUGAUGGUGGAGCGGUGAAAUGCGUUGAUAUCAUCAGGAACACCGGUGGCGAAAGCGGCUUACUGGGUCUCUUCUGACGCUGAGGAACGAAAGCUAGGGGAGCGAACGGG